rnacentral:rRNA from 1 species
UACGGAGGGAGCUAGCGUUGUUCGGAAUUACUGGGCGUAAAGCGCACGUAGGCGGCUUUGUAAGUUAGAGGUGAAAGCCCGGGGCUCAACCCCGGAAUUGCCUUUAAGACUGCAUCGCUUGAAUCCGGGAGAGGUGAGUGGAAUUCCGAGUGUAGAGGUGAAAUUCGUAGAUAUUCGCAAGAACACCAGUGGCGAAGGCGGCUCGACUGGCCCGAUA